rnacentral:rRNA from 1 species
CUGAUGGCGAGUGGCGAACGGGUGAGUAAUGCAUCGGAACGUGCCCAAUCGUGGGGGAUAACGCAGCGAAAGCUGUGCUAAUACCGCAUACGAUCUACGGAUGAAAGCGGGGGACCUUCGGGCCUCGCGCGAUUGGAGCGGCCGAUAUCAGAUUAGCUAGUUGGUGGGGUAAAAGCCUACCAAGGCGACGAUCUGUAGCUGGUCUGAGAGGACGACCAGCCACACUGGAACUGAGACACGGUCCAGACUCC